CACCUCCUUGAGAACAGAGUAGAUUCACAAAUGUUUGGAAAUUCUUCUUCAUGAGAGAUUGCUCCCUUCUUCUUCUCCAUGUAUUUAUUUAUUCAAUUAUUUAUUUGUAGCAACAUGGACUCAAGAAUGUUUACUUUCUAUUUUGGGUUAAAAUCUUUGACUUUGUUUUGUGGCAAAAUUUUGUAGCUUUGGCCAUUAACAAUCUUUUGGUUGGUUCUUGUGCCUCCUUGAUAUAUAUUACUAUUACUGUGCUCACUUUUGUAUUUAACACUUUCCUGCUUUUUGAUCAUACACGAUGCUCCAGGAUCUACUUUUUUUUUUUUUGCCUUUUUAGGGCUGCACCCAUGGCAUAUGCAGGUUCCCAGGUUAGGGGCUGAAUCAGAGCUAUAGCUGCCAGCCUACACUGUAACCAGAGCAACACCAGAUCUGAGCCGUGUCUGUGACCUACACCAUAGUUCUUGGCAAUGACUGAUCCUUAAUCCACUGAGCAAAGCCAGGGAUUGAGCCUGCAUCCCCAUGGAUAUUAGUCAGAUUUGUUUCCACUGAGCCAUGAUGGGAACUCCAGUAUCUUCUUAUAUCAGUCACUUCAAAAAGAGCUCUAGUUUCUUUUACUGAAAAUUGUAUUAGAAACCUAGAUGUAGGUGUGUAGUGUCAGCAUGAUUUUUAAUGUUGUACAUGAUUCAAAAGAGACAUGAAAUCUUAAUAGUGAAUGGUAUUACUGGUAAGAUAAAGAGAGAAAAUUAUUGCCAGAUUUUGGAGGAUUUUGAAUGUUUGACAAAGGAUAUUGGAGAAGAGACGAUUGACUAUAAAAUUUAGGACUUUUUUUUUCUUUGUACAGCAGCAUCUGUGGAAUAUGGAAGUUCUUGUGCCAGGGAUUGCAUCAGAGCUGCAGCUGUGGCCUAUGCCACAGCCAUGGCAACACUGGAUUGAGCCUCAUCUGCAGUCUACAUUGUAGCUUAUGGCAAUGCCAGAUUGUUAACCCACUGAUAAAUGCCAGGGAUCAAACCCACAUCCUCAAGGAGACUAUGUUGUGUCCUUAAUCCAUUGAGCCAUAUUGGCAACUUCUUUUACUUUUUUUCAGGAUUGUUUAGUGAAGCAGAUAAGUGAUAUAGAAAAUGAUACAUAUUAAUAGAAAAAAUAAAUAUUAUGUAUAUAUGAAUAAUUAUAGAUGCAUAAUUGCAUAUUUAUUACACUGGAAUAUUCAACCUGGAAAUUUGCUCUUUUUCAGAGGAAGCUUGUUGUCUGCCAAAGAGGCAGUUGGCUGCUUGCACAACUUGAUCUGUCAACUUUAACUUAAUCAUUCAUGCAUGUACUAUUUCAUUCAUUUAUUCAUAUUUCAAAUAACUCUUUGCUUAACAUUUAUUUAUUUACUCAACAGUAUUCAAAGGGAACCUAAUGAUUGCUUGGAAAUUACAUGUGAAUUAAAACAACAAAACAAAAAGUUAACUUAUAUUCUAUUGAAAAGAGAUACAAACAAAACAAUAAAUUCUUGAGCAGAGGAUAUGAAUUUGCAUGAACUAAAAAGAAAAGAAGCACUAUGUAGAUAUAAAAUGAUUAUGCAAGUCAAUUGUCAUUGUUUAGUUUAAAAUGGCAUACAUUAUAUAGUAAUAAUAACUCAAGAAGAUGGAAAAAGUAUUUAUGGAAGGAAAUCUUUUAAAGAAAAUGGAAAAGCAAUACCUUCUCUGAUAAUGUUACACUGAAGAAAAGACCACAUGAGCAGAGGAGUCAUAGUCCACAGCACAUGGAACAAUAACUGCCAAGGCCCUGGCAUGGGUGUCGCCUGGUGGGUUUGAGGAACAUGUUGGGUGGGGUGGAGGUGGGGAGCUGUGAGAGAUGAACCUGAUUAGGAAGCAGAUUUUUGAGUUUUAUUAAGCUUUGGAAGAAUGUUGGCUUUGUUCUAAAUGUGGUGGGAGGCCAGUAGAGAGAUUUGGGUAGAGGAACAUCAUGAUCAUACUUAUAUUUUUAGACAAUCACUCUGGUUCCUGGAAAAAUGUUUCUAGAGUUUGGGAGUUGGAGGGAAGCAGAUAGUUAAUUUAGGGGGUAAUUGAAGUAACCUAAGCAGUGAAGCAAAAUGGAUUUGGAUUAUCAUGAUAGCAGUACGGUGACUGAAAAGUACUGGGAUGUUUAAUUCAUAGUGCAUAUUUUAAGGUAGUGUAUACUGUAAAGUAGAGCUGACAGGAAUUGUAAAUAGUUUGGUGAAGAAGUGACAAAGAAUUGAAGGAGGCACAUCUUUUGUCUUAAUUCCCUUUCCUAAAAUGAGGAAGACUAGCAAGGAGCAAGUGGUGAGGCUCACACUUUCUAUGUGUGAGCAAAUCUACUAGACUGCACACAAAAUGAUUAACCAAUCACACAAUAAUAUUAUCAAGAUGGAAUUUGCAAUCUAGAGGCAUAUACUGUUGUAUAACAAUAGACAUAUGAAUAGGCAAUGGCCAACAAAUGUAAACAGGAUAACUGGAGGAAAGGAGCUACAUAAUUUAAAUCAGAAAGUCAUUGGAAAAGUCUCUUAGAAGAAAUAACUUUUUAGUUUAUCCCUAUUGAGGUAAAAAUGGAAGAAACUUUAGGCAUGAAGUCUGUAAGGCAGCAAAGAGCAUGACUAGAGGAUAAGUAUGGAGGAUAAGACUGAACUGAUUUCAGCAUAAUAAAUCAGAAAAACUUAUUACCUGUGUUUUUGCAUGGAAACAUGUAAGAAGAAUGUGUGUAUGAGCAUGUGUGUUGAGUUGUUGAUGCAAUUGGAGCCUUAACUCUGUAUUCUCUAUGUCAGUGAAUCUCUAAUUUUUGAAAAAGAACACUUCACAGUCCCUUUAAAAAUUAACCUGUAUACAUUCUUUAUUUAAAGCUCACCAUUUUUUAACCUUUAUUAUCCAUUGGUUAACUGUAUACUAUAUUAAAAUAAUAAAUUAUAAUUAUGGUAAUUCAUGUUUUCUAGAUACAAAAACUCAGCAUGAAAAGACUAAAUAAAUAUUUUCAUGUGGGCUCCUCUAAUCUCCGAACACCAAGCAUGCACAAAAUAGGAUUAUCCAAAAGACAAUAACUAAGUGAAGAUUUAUAUAUACAUUUGGUUCUGAGUAUGUGCUACUGAGUUAGGAAUAUUUUACCAUACAUGAACUCUAAUCCACUAAACUCUCUUACGUAUGCAUUUUUAUUACUUGUAAUAUCUCAGACAUAAAGACUUGGUACCAUUUUGUGAGAUGCUUUCUAAAUGGUACAUCUGCCUCUCCUGAUUGCAAGAGUAUCAAAUCUAGGCAGACAAAAGUGACCUGGAUCUAUUUUUAAAGUCCUCUAGCAAAUACGCCUUUAAAAUGGAUGUAUAAAAAAGUCAACCCUUAUGUAACACCUUCCAAUUGCUGACACCUUAUAGCCAUUUUGCUCAUUAUAUCUUAAGUCAAAGCUCUGCAAGACAACUCAAAGCAUCAAAAAAUGUCAGACAAGUUUCUAGUCACUGAAAAUAUUCCAUUUGUGAGAGUCUGGCCCAGUCUAUGAGGACACAGCUUCAAGGUGUUGCUGAAACUAUAGUUGGGAUUAUUCAGGAGUGAAAAGAUAAUCAAAGCUCCUGAAAAGAUGAAAAUUUUCCUUAUUAUUGUUUUAUUCUUCUCCUGUCUUACCCUUCUCUUCACCUAAGAUUAUGGAAAUUGUGACUUUUGCAGUUCAUAUGUAACAGUUAUUUUUCAGAAACAGAAAUCAGGUUCUUGUUGUCCAGGCUUCCACAUAGAGAUGAAAUAUUGCUAUUGUGAUGAUGCUUGGUAGGAAAUGGUGAUUCAAAUCUCCAUGUUCACAGGUCUGCAUAGGGAAGUCUGUCUGUCUGUCUGUCUGUCUGUCUAUCUAUCUAUCUAUCUAUCUAUCUAUCUAUCUAUCUAUCAUCUAUAUGUCUUCUAUCAUCUAUCUAUCAUCUAUCUAUCUAGCUCUUCAAGUAGAAGAUAAUCUCUUAUCAGGGAUUCUAGGAAGAAAUUUCAAUAAAAUUCUGAGGACAAUGCAAACAGCCAAUGAGAAUAGCCAAAUCUGAUUUCCAGUAGAUUCUAAUAAAAUUUAGGUUCUAAUGGAAAAUCUGUCCUCAAAGAUAAAAUCUUCAGAUUCUUCUUUGUGCUAUAUGGAUUAUUUUGUUUACACAAAACCUCUCAUAGUUCAGGCCAUGAACUAAAUGACAAGAUAACUGAACAUAUUCCUUUUAUCAAGACUUCUUGACUUAGGGAAAUCUCUGAGUAUUGAUUAUGUUAACCUAAACACUAGAUUAGUCUGAUAUUCAUGCUUUCUGUGAAUAGAAACAGAUUUACUUUUUCCUUUUCAAAUCCGAAAGACUUUAAUUUAUUUUGCCUAAUGUCUUUGCUAGGAAUUCCAGUGUGAUGUUGAAUAUAUGCAAUGAGGGAGGAUAUUAAUGUAUUAUUUCCUAUUUUAAUGAGAAAACAUUCUAUUUUUACCAUUAUUAUAAUGUUUAGAUUUCCUUCUAUUCCCAAUUUGCUCAGAGUUUUUUAAUUAUUAUUGUGAAUGGAUAUUCAUCUUCAUCAAAUUAUUUUAUUAUAUCUUUGGAGAUGAUCAUAUUUUUCUUUAGUCAUUAAUAUGGUGAUUACAAUAAUUGGUUUUUGAAUCUUUAACCAACUUUGGUUUCAAUUAAAGAUAUUUGUCUUCUUUCUCCUAGUUUCUUAAAAUAAACACUGAGAUUACUAAUUUGAGAUCUGUAGCUGAUGGCAUAUGUAAGUUCCCAGGUUAGCACUCAAAUUGGAGCUAUAGCUGCUGGCCUACUCCACAGCCACAGCAAUGUGGGAUCAAAGCUGCGUCUGCAACCUAUACCACAGCUCAUGGCAUUGCUAUAUCCUUAACCCAUUGAGUGAGGCCAGGGAUCAAAUUUGCAUCCUCAUGGAUACUAGUCAGAUUCAUUGCCUCUGCACCACAGUGGGAACUCCCAGUAUAGAUGUUUUUAGACUGUGAUUUAUCUUGGUAUAAUUUUAUGGGUCCUUAAAAAAAAAAAAAAAAAAA
rnacentral:lncRNA from 9 species